AUAUCUAUCUACCUAUCUCAUUCCCUCUCUGAAAAGGUAAGCAAAGUAUUUACCAAUGUAAGGUCCCUGAAAAAAAAUGACUCAAAGGUGAACUCUAGCCAAACUAAAAAUACAGAACUGAUGGGAAAACCUAUUGUACAAAAAGAUUUGCACUAAGCCUAAGACAUACAUAGAUUAAAUUUAAAGAAUUGUGGCAAAUAUGGUUCUACACCAAGAGCAAAUGUCAAAAACAAAAUCUGAAAGAAACACACCUAAUAAGAAGCGUAGGUGUGUGAAAGAAACACACCUAAUAAGAAGCUCUCCGCAAAGCACUCAACACAUAGGAUGUGCUUUAUAAAUACUUGCUUAAUGAGCCUAGGACCCUUCCCAUGUACAAAAAAAAUAAGUCAGAGAACAGGGGAUGGCCAGUACUUAGAGGAAGCUGAGUCAUUUUUCUCCUUCCCUUGGGUCAAGUAGAAAAUUAAGGAGGGUGAAUAGUGGAAGUUUCUGUUCCCUUUAUGCCUAAGAAACAUUUUAUUUUUGUUAUUUCAAAGUGGAAGUCAAGUUCGUUAUUUCCGUGUGAUUAUUAUUACAAGCUCAAAGGAGCUUGGUCAGACUUUCAGGUUCUUUAUUUAGAAAGUGCUGGGCGGUCUGAGAGCGGAUAUGUGUCUUUUGCACUGAAACAGACAGCGCCCCAUGUCAAUGGGCCUAAAGGGAUAACGUGUCUUCCCUGGAUACUGACUGUCAGCCAUGAAAUCCAACUCAAUGACACCACACCCUCCUCUCCCCUUCCUGUUGGUGUGACUUACCCUUCCUUAACUUUUCACUUGGUUCUCCUGGAUUUAUGUGAUUCAUUGAGUUACAUCAGUCUGGUUUUUAAUGAAUAGAGAAUUGAUUGCAAAUUGAUCCAUAACCAUGAUAAUUUAAGAUGACAACUUAGCCCUGGGCCACCAAGCUGGAUUGCUAGGUGUCUGUAUCGGACACUCACUCACUGCUGAGCGAGCUGUUUCCCCACAUAGAAACUGGCUGCUCUGAGGAGGGGAACUGAGUUGAGCAAUACGUUGUAGUUUUGUAGGUUUGUGUUAUAAACAACAUGGGGUGGUCUGAUUCUAGCCACUCUAGAGGGAGGGGGAAACUAGUGAGGAUUAUUUGCAUAAUUUGUCCUAGAAACUCUUAGGUGAGUGAGAUCUGUUCUGGAUUAGGGAUUAAGACCAAGACCCACAAGGACAUUCUGGACAGGAAAGGUGAUGGUGGAGAUGACAGAUUCCAGAAGCAAUGUAUUACAAAGGCCAGAAGUGGUAGGAUUUUUAAUCUUGGCUUUAUCAUUAUUCACAUAUACUGGAUCUUUUUUUUUUUUGGCCACUCCGCAGCAUAUAGAGUUCCUGGGCCAGGGAUUAGAUCUGAACCACAGUUGUGACACUGCAACUGUGGCAACGCAAGAUCCUUUAACCCACUGUGCCUGGCUGGGGAUUGAAUACACAUCCUGGAUCUGUAGAGAUGCCGCUGAUACCAUUGUGCCAUAGCAGGAACUCCUGGAUCAUCUUUUUACAAAAAAAUUAAAACUCUUUUUUAUAUUCCUUUCCAUUAUGGUCCAUCACAGGAUAUUGAAUAUUGUUCCUUCUGGUGUGUAUCCACUCUAUAUAAAAUAUGUUUGCAUCUACUAACCCCAAAGUCCCAAUGCAUCCCUUCCUCACCUCUUGGCAACCAAAGUCUGUUCUCUAUACCUGUAAGACUCUUUCUGUUUUGUAGAUAAAUUCAUUUUUCAUAUUUUAGACUCCACUUGUAGAUUAUAUCAUAUGGUAUUUGUCUUUCUUUGCCUGACUCACUUCACUUAGUAGGAUAAUCUCUACUUGCAUCCAUGCUGUUGUAAAUGGCAUCAUUUCAAUCUUUUUUUUAUGGAUGAGUAGUAUUCCAUUGUAUAUAUACCACAUCUUUGUUGGAUUAUCUUUUAGGUAAUAUGAGAUUGUGUCCUUAUUUAGGGGUAAAAUCUGGAGAAAGUCUUUCUUUAUCUUUGUUUUAGAAAAUAACCUUUAGGAAGUAUUAAGUGAACAUGAUUUACCUCCCUCCUGAAUUUGACCAUGGCUCAGAAUAAAUGUGGUAAGGGGUUGCGGAUUUCCUGGGAGUCUCUUUGAUCUGCUGUAAAUGUAUCAGAAUGUUCUGCACUGUUCUUUGUCCUCUGUUAUUCAUUGUAUACAGAGAAUAUUUAAUUCUAAAUCUGGAUUAUUCUUACCUGUGGAUUAUCCACUUUGUCAAUUACCAGGGAUGAAUUUCAGACCAUUUUUUUCUGAAUGUAAACUUGUGCUAGGUAAUGCACACUCAUUUCAAUACUAGUACAAAAUCAGUAAAACUACAAAUUGUCUACAAAAAUAUAUAAAAUGCAAAAUGUUUUAUCUCAAAGCUAGAUAAAAAUGUCUUUAUAUAGUUUGUUUUUUGUUGUCUUUGUCUUUAUUAAGUAAACAUUUUUGACUUUAUAUUACUAUUGCUUAAUAGAUAAAAUAAGUACAGUGGCAUGAAACAGAAUCCUUUUAAAAAAUUUUAUAUAUUAGGAGUUCCAAUUGUAGCUCAGUGGUAACAAAUCCGACCAGUAUCCAUGAGGACGCAGGUUCUAUUCCUGGUAUCAUUUAGUGGGUUAAGGAUCUGGUGUUGCUGUGAACUGUGGUGUAGUUCACAGACGAGGCUGGAUCCUGCAUUGUUGUGGCUUUGGUGUAGGCUGGCAGCUACAUCUCCCAUUAGACCCUAACCUGGGAACUUCCAUAUGCCAUGGGGGCAGCCCUGAAAGAAAAAGAAAAACAAAAAAAAUUAAGUAAGUUCAUACUUGUGUAAUUUUCUCAAUAAUCCUUAUUUAUUAUAUUUUAAUGCUACUCUGAUUCAGGAGUUUGCAGAAUAUUCUUUUUUUUUUUCUUUUUUUGUCUUUUUGUCUUUUCUAGGGCCGCACCCACAGCAUAUGGAGGUUCCCAGGUUAGGGGUCUAAUCGGAGCCAUAGCCGCCAGGCUACGCCACAGUCGCCACAGUCACAGCAACGAGGGAUCCGAGCUGCAUCUGUGACCUACACCACAGCUCACGGCAAUGCUGGAUGCCCAACCCACUGAGCAAGGCCAGGGAUCGAACCCACAACCUCAUGGUUCCUAGUCGGAGUCAUGAUGGGAACUCCUGCAGAAUAUUCUUAUCAAUCCAUCAAUAUAUCCAUCUCUCCAUCUAUAUAUAGCCUUGAAAUAUCACCUGGUUUAAUUCUAUUAUAUUAAUACUCAAAGGGACUUGGUUUACCCUAUAUACCCACCUUAUUGUCAGUAGACUUCAUGCAAUUGCAGGGCUGCUAAAAUGCUAAACAAACUCUAGUUUAGGCCAAUAGUUUUCAGAGUCACUCAUUUGUUUUUUGAUUGUUUGUUUAUUCAGUUGAAGGAAGAAAAUACAUCAUAUACAUAUUAUGUAUGUAUGUACUAUUUGUAACAAAUAUAUUACCUAUAAGUAUGCAUAUACACACACAAUCUUCUAAGGGAGCUUGCAUCUUUCACCUGUCCUUCCGACAUUGAUUAGGGUGCUGGGUGGGGGGUGGGGAGCAGAGGAUGAGCAGAUUCCUGUGAGAAACAUUAGGGAGAGAAGAUUCAAUGCAGGAAGGUGAGGUGCGGGCAGAGUGGGCAGGAGGAAUUUUCAGGAGGGAGGGGAUCUGGGCCAAGAAGAGAGAAAUAUUGGGGGGCUGCCCAGGAAUAGAGAAGGCCCUGAGAAUUUGGAGAAAGAAUUUUAGGAAAAGUCUCUGUGGGAUACACUUUGGCAUUCUUGCAGAGAUACCAUUAGGACUGGAAAUCAUGUUUUUUUUUUGGUAGCUUCACCCACAGGCACGUGGCAGUACCCAGGACAGAGAUCCUACCUGCACCACAGUAGCCACCGGAGCCUCUGCGGUGAUAAUAUGGGACCCUUAAGGUGCUGAGCCACCAGGGGAUUCCAGAAUUGGAAUUUCUCUCUAGUUUUGGCUGCCAGGCAGGGUUUUCUGGAAUGAGCACCUGUCUGGGCACUGUAAGUGUAGGCUCGUGCUGUGCUGAAGGUACAACAUGGGGCACAAUACAUGUUCUCUGCUCCCACGGAACUUAUGCGCUAGUGAGGGAGCCGAUACAAAUCAAAUAACCAUUCAAAUACCACUGAUUCAUUCAUCAUUCAUUCAUCCAUUCAUAUCUACUAUUUUUUUAAGUACCUACAAUGUGCCAGGCAUUGUUUUAGGUUUUGGGGUUUCUGAUUCAUCAAUAAGACAGACAAUGUGAUUCCUGCUCGUGGUAGCUUUAUACUGCACCAAACUAUCUAGGCUGGAGCUACAUUUCCCCAGUUUUCCUUCUCUAUGUGUUUCUGGGGUAGACAUGGCCCCAGAGAAAUGUGCAGAAUUUCUGGAUGGCAGGAGCAAAAGCUAGCAUCUGUGCAGCUCAUGGCACAGGAGCUGCCCUGCUGGAUGGGCUGUCCUGGUGCCUGAGGUCACUUUCCAGGAUUGCUGGGCUUCCUCUUCCUGCUUUUCUGGGGCCUGGGCCCAGCCUGCUACAGCUCUGGGGCAGAGAGGCAGCUUCUGCUGAGAUUCCUCCAGUACCAGGGCUGGAACCAGUCGGUCACCAAUGUCCUAGAUUGUCCUUAUGAGCUCUACUGUGUCCUGGCCUCCAUGCACACCCACCCCUCCUUCCUGGAGACUCCAAGCUCCACACCACCUGCCCCUACAACUGCACCAGGACCAACCAUGUGACGAAUUCCUGCCCUCCAGCUCUCCUGUGGUUCUGCUGCUCUGAUUGAACCCUAACAGAUGUUCUGCUCUUGGGCUGCUGACAUUCUAGACAGACAGGGCACAGCUUAAUAAAUAAGAAAAUCAUGAAGUAUGUUUAGGAUGGAAAUGUGUGAUGGAAAGGAAAUUUGAGAAAGAAAGAGUGGGGAGAAAUAGGGUACACUGGUGGUAGAUGUGGGGAGGCAGGUGCUGCGUGAAACAAAGCAGUAGUGAUGGGCCCUCGUUAUUGAGAAUUUUAGGUUUUUUCCCCCUCUCUUUUUGUCUUUUUUUGGCCACCCCAUAUGCUAGGGCAAUGCUGGAUUCUUACCCACUGUGCUAGAAGGACUGAACCUGUGACCCAGUGCUCCAGAGAGGUCGCCAAUCCCGUUGCGCUAUGACAGCAACUCCUAAAAGGUAAGAUUUGAACAGAGUUGAGGGAAGUGAGGGAUCAGCUGGAGGGGAAACUCCAAGGGCAGAGGGAACACAAAACACAUUUCCUGAGGCACGAGGAUGCCUGGAGCAUGCCUGGCGCUUCCUGGAGGCCGUUGUGAUGGAAAGGAGGGAGCCAGGAGGGGAGUAGAAGGAUAUUGGGCCCUUGGCGGGGGCAGGGGGGUUCUGGUUUGUGCAGCAGGGGGUGGCAAACUCAGGCCAUGGGCCACAUCCUGCCCUACCUGUUUGUGUGCAUCAGGUUUUCCUGGCACACAGCCCUGCUUGUUCGUUUCCACAUCAUCUAUGGCUGCUUUCUGGCUACCAUGACAGAGCUGAAAAGUUGUAACAGAGACCAUAUUGCCUAAACAGGCUGAAACUGUCUCUAAAAAAAAGUUGCUGGUCCCUGGUCUACAGCCUCAGAAAUUUUGGCUUUGAGUCUGAAUGAAACAAGAGCCAUCUCAGGGCUUUGAGUAGAGGAGAACCACACUCAGACUUAACUUAUAUAAGAAUUAUCCCCACUGUUGCAUUGAGAGCAGAUUGCAGCGGGGGGCAGGGGCAGGGAGCAAGGGCAGAAGCAGGGAGACCCAUUGGGAAGCGAUUGCAACAACCCAGGCUGGAGAUGAUGAUGGUUUAGACCAGAGUGACAGCAGUGGGGCACAGAUGUAGUUGGAUCCUGAUUAUCUUUCGAAGUUUGAGCCAAGCUGACAGAUUGGAUUUGGGGUGUGGGAAAAAUAGAGGAGUCAACAAAUGUAUAAUUACAGCUCACCUUGAGUGCUGGUAUAAAAGGAUUCCUGGAGGAGUUCCCGUCGUGGCUCAGCGGAAAUGAAUCUGACUGACACCCAUGAAGACAAAGGUUCAAUCCCUGGUCUCGCUCAGUGGGUUAAGGAUCCAGCAUUGCCAUGAGCUGUGGUAUAGGUCACAGAUGUGGCUUGGAUCCCACAUAGCUGUGGCUGUGGUGUAGGCCAGCUGUUGCAGCUCUGAUUUGACCCCUAGCCUGGGAACCUCCAUAUGCUGCAGGUGCAGCCCUAAAGGAACAAAAAUUUUUUAAAAAGAAAUUAAAAAAAGGAUUUCUGGAGUUCCCCUUGUGGCUCAGCAGUAACAAACCUGACUAGUAUCCAUGGGGACAUGGGUUUGAUCCCUGGUCUCGCUCAGUGGGUUAAGGAUCUGGCAUUGCUGUAAACUGUGGUAUAGGUCACAGAUGUAGCUUGGAUCCCGCCUUGCUGUGGCUGUGGGGUAAGGCAGCAGCUGCAGCUCCAAUUCGACUCCCAGCCUGGAAACUUCCAUAUACCAUGGGUAUGGCCCUAAAAAAAAAAAAAAAA
rnacentral:lncRNA from 1 species